GAUGAACGCUGGCGGUAUGCUUAGCACAUGCAAGUCGAUCGGACUCUUCGGAGUUAGUGGCGGACGGGUGAGUAACGCGUGAGAAUCUGGCUUUGGGUUCGGGACAACCACUGGAAACGGUGGCUAAUACCGGAUGUGCCGAGAGGUAAAAGAGAAAUUGCCUGAAGAUGAGCUCGCGUCUGAUUAGCUAGUUGGUGAGGUAAAGGCUCACCAAGGCAGCGAUCAGUAGCUGGUCUGAGAGGAUGACCAGCCACACUGGGACUGAGACACGGCCCAGACUCCUACGGGAGGCAGCAGUGGGGAAUUUUCCGCAAUGGGCGAAAGCCUGACGGAGCAAUACCGCGUGAGGGAAGAAGGCUCUUGGGUUGUAAACCUCUUUUCUUAGGGAAGAACAAAAUGACGGUACCUAAGGAAUCAGCAUCGGCUAACUCCGUG
rnacentral:rRNA from 1 species